UACGGAGGGUGCAAGCGUUAAUCGGAAUUACUGGGCGUAAAGCGUGCGUAGGCGGUUCGUUAAGUCUGUUGUGAAAGCCCCGGGCUCAACCUGGGAAUGGCAAUGGAUACUGGCGAGCUAGAGUGUGUCAGAGGAUGGUGGAAUUCCCGGUGUAGCGGGUGAAAUGCGUAGAGAUCGGGAGGAACAUCAGUGGCGAAGGCGGCCAUCUGGGACAACACUGACGCUGAGGCACGAAAGCGUGGGGAG
rnacentral:rRNA from 1 species